CUGGGAUUACAGGCAUGAGCCACUGCACCCAGCCAGUUCUCCUAUUUUUAAAUUUAUUUUUAUUUUAUUGUGGUAAGAACACUUGAUGUGAGAUUUACUGUUUUAACAAAGUUUUAAGUGUACAAUACAUUUUCCAUUUUCUUUUUCUCCUACAUGUAGGAUUUGGGUACUUACUGAGUACACUGUGCCCAAUGCUAAAUUAAGUGCUUGGAUAGAGAAAGGAGGUUUGAAAAAUUAGAAGCCUUGGCUUUUACCUUCGAAGACUUCAUAUUGAAGAAAGGACACCAUAAAGAUGUGACAUACUCAGAGAAUAAUCAUCAUUCCAGUGAAUUGCUGAAAGAUAAUUUAGACCAUAAGAACUGGUCUUCAAAUUGAAAUUGGAUAUAAGCCCCGUGGGGCAGGAAGUUUUGUUCAUUGCUGGAUUCCCCAGUGCCUAGAACAGUGCCAGGCAUAGUUGGCACUCAUUCCUUCAUAUUUAUUGAAUUGGCCAAUAAAGUAGUGCAGUGUUGCUUUUGAGGGAAGGAGUAUGAAGGCUGGAGAGCAUUGAGUCCUGCAGAGAAGCUUGGAUUUGUGAGAGUAAGAGAGGCACAUAUGUUCUGGGGCAGAGAAGGUUGAUGCAAUAGUAAUUGUUCCAGAGAAACUGUUCCUGCAGCUGUCAUUGCAGCUGGAAUAGAAGUGAUAGAAACCAAAUCCUGUACUACUGCAAACCAAGCCAGGAGGGGACUGCAAGAAAAUAUUGACUUGACUGAGUUUAAGACAAGGUCUCUCCUUCUGUCACCCAGGCAGGCUGGAAUGCACUGGCACG